GAGCCACAGAGGGCCUGCUGGGAGGAGUUAGCGCAGGGAGAGGAUGGGAGAAACCCCUGGUUUCUUCUCGCUCCCCUUUCUUUCCCAUUAACCAAACACAGACUGAAUCCAGCUGAGGGGGGACCAUGAAAAACUUCACGGAAGGCCUGCCUUUCUGCAGCACAGGGCAGGAAAAUCCAGAGGAACAGAUCUGAGAACCAGCAGCCACGGGAUCUCUCUACACAAGACUGGCUGUGCUGCAAAUCAUUAUGUGGACCAGCCUGACCUUGAACUUGCGGAGUUGCCUUCUGUCUGCCUCUCCUUCCUGAGUGCUGGGAUGAAAGGUGUGUAUUACCAUGGCAACAUGUAGUCUUAAAGAUGAUUAAAAUGGCAAAAUAGGCAAUUCCCCCAAAUGAGCAAAAGAUCCUCCCUAUGCAGAUCUGCAGGUGGCUCCCGAGCAUGUGCGAGGCUGUCCUGUGUUUAUUUGCUGUUUUAGCUCCGGUUUCUACCGCUAUGAUGAAACACCUUGACCUAAUGCAACUUGGGGAGGAAAGGGUUUAUUUGGCUUACACAUCCUCCUUGCUGUUCAUCAGUGAAGAAACUCAGGACAGGAACUUAAACAGGGCAGGAACCUGGAGGCAGGAGCUGAUGCAGAAGCCAUGGAGGGAUGCUGCUUACUGGCUUACUCUAUAUGGCCUGCUCAACCUGCUUUCUUAUAGAACCCAGGACCAACCAGGGAUGGCUCAUCACCUAUGAUGAGCUGGGCCCUCCCCAUCAAUCAUUAAAGAAAUGAUCUACGGUUGUAUCUCACGGAGGCAUUUUCUCAGUUGAGGCCUCCUUCUUUCAUAAAACUCUAGCUCAUGUCAAAUUGAUAUAAAAUUUGCCAGCACAUCAGCUAUCUGAAAAAUGCCAAUUUCAGAUACAGUGGAAUAUGUCACAUAGCUAUAUUGGACUUAAAAACUCAAGCCAAAAGGUAGGCAGUGGUGGCACACACACACACACACACACACACACACACACACACACACACUUUUAAUCCUAGCAAUUGGGAGGCAGAGGCAGGUGGAUCUCUAUGAGUUCAAGGCCAACCUGAUCUACAGAGUGAGUUCCAGGACAGCCAAGGCUACACAAGAAACCUUGCUAGAAAACCAAAACCAAACAAAUCAAACAACCACCAACUCUACAAGGUCAAGAUCCUGUGGUAGAUAUCACGGCCAGAACCUUGCUGCCUGUGGUAAGGACUACUUCUAAUGGUGCACUACUUUUUACAGUACCUGUGCCUCUGUGGCAACACUUAGAUUGGUUCCAUAAAAUCUAAGGGAGGUCAGAGAUACCACCGUGCCAUCAUUCCCAGCAGAUGCACACACAGCCUAAGUGAGAGCCAUGUGGGUAUCAGCAAGUGGCAGAAUUAAAAUUCUGCUACAGUACACCUGUACUAUGAAGGAAUGCAUAUCCAUGUCAGAAUCCAAAUUACACUGGUAUUGGCUGGUUUUGUUUGUCCACUUAACACAAGCUGGAGUUAUCACAGAAAAAGGAGCCUCCUUUGAGGAAAUGCCUCCAUGAGAUCCAACUGUAAGGCAUUUUCUCAAUUAGUGAUCAAGGGUGGGAGGGCCCAUUAUGUGUAGUGCCAUCCCUGGGCUGGUAGAAAGCAAGCUGAGCAAGCCAGGGAAAGCAAGCCAGUAAAGAACAUCCCUCCAUGGCCUCUGCACCAGCUCCUGCUUUCUUACCUGCUUGAGUUCUAGUCCUGACUUCCUUUGGUGAUGAACAGCAGUGUGGAAGUGUAAGCUGAAUAAACCCUUUCCUCCCCAACUUGCUUCUUGGACAUGAUGUUUGUUCAGGAAUAGAAACCCUGACUAAGACAACACUGGAUAAAGGAGCUGUGAUGGCUAGUUUUGUUUUUGUUUUUGUUUUUUAACCAACUUAACACAGGCCAUUGUCAUCUGGUCAAAGGGUGUUGUUAAUCUCCUUUAUUCAAGGAGAAAGACCACCAGCCCAAAUCAUUAUGGCCAAAUUAAUUAAAAUAAGCUUUUUCACUCAUGAUGUGUGCUGUUUUUCCCUAAGGCAGAGUUCCAGAAGUCAGAGUUGGACACGAAGAAGAGAAAGUUUUGAUAGCUCAGGGGUAGAGGUUUCCAAGUCUGGGGUUUGGUAGACAAAAUAGGCAGGGUUACAGGGUACAGGGGUACGGGUCUACAGGGUACAGGGGUACAGGAGUACAGGGUAUAGAACAUAAGCAUAAUACGUUAGUCAUAAAGAGCUCCUAAAACAGAGACCUGGUUGCACAGAGGGCAGAACAAGCUGAUAAUAACACCAGGUAGUCAUUAACAAGGUGGUUAUAAGCAAUCAACUUUUGAAAUAAAAGUAGGACUCCAAGAUGGUUAUUAUACCUUUUGAAACAAGGACAAGGUUGCAACUUCCUGGAACAGGCAGUACAGAACCGUAGUAGUUUUGGUUACAGGUGGGGCACAGCUCAAUCCUUGAGAAACAAGGGUUUCAUCAUAAACAGAAAUGAGCCUAGGUGGUCUUUGCUUGAACAGAGCUUUUAAGACUAAGAUGAAGACAGGCUGGUUCAUCAGGCACCUCAACCAAGAAAAUGCCUUCAUCAGAUU
rnacentral:lncRNA from 1 species